GAUAGCGUGGCCGAGUGGUUAAGGCGGCAGACUGCUAAUCUGUUACCUUCGGGUGCGAGAGUUCGAAUCUCUCCGCUGUCG